rnacentral:rRNA from 1 species
AGAGUGAACGCUGGCGGUAGGCCUAACACAUGCAAGUCGAACGGCAGCACAGGAGAGCUUGCUCUCUGGGUGGCGAGUGGCGGACGGGUGAGGAAUACAUCGGAAUCUACCUUUUCGUGGGGGAUAACGUAGGGAAACUUACGCUAAUACCGCAUAAGACCUUCGGGUGAAAGCCGGGGACCUUCGGGCCUGGCGCGGAUAGAUGAGCCGAUGUCGGAUUAGCUUGUUGGCGGGGUAAAAGCCCACCAAGGCGACGAUCCGUAGCUGGUCUGAGAGGAUGAUCAGCCACACUGGAACUGAGACACGGUCCAGACUCCUACGGGAGGCAGCAGUGGGGGAAUA